CCUACGGGGGGCAGCAGUGGGGAAUAUUGGGCAAUGGGCGCAAGCCUGACCCAGCAAUGCCGCGUGAAGGAAGAAGGCCCUCGGGUUGUAAACUUCUUUUAUCAGGGACGAAGGAUGUGACGGUACCUGAUGAAUAAGCUCCGGCUAACUACGUGCCAGCAGCCGCGGUAAUACGUAGGGAGCAAGCGUUAUCCGGAUUUACUGGGUGUAAAGGGCGCGUAGGCGGGAUGGCAAGUCAGAUGUGAAAUCCAGGGGCUCAACCCCUGAACUGCAUUUGAAACUGUCGUUCUUGAGUACUGGAGAGGUUGACGGAAUUCCUAGUGUAGCGGUGAAAUGCGUAGAUAUUAGGAGGAACACCAGUGGCGAAGGCGGUCAACUGGACAGCAACUGACGCUGAGGCGCGAAAGCGUGGGGAGCAAACAGGAUUAGAUACCCGUG
rnacentral:rRNA from 1 species